rnacentral:rRNA from 1 species
UACGUAGGGUGCGAGCGUUGUCCGGAAUUAUUGGGCGUAAAGGGCUCGUAGGCGGUUUGUCGCGUCGACUGUGAAAUCCCGCGGCUCAACUGCGGGUCUGCAGUCGAUACGGGCAGGCUAGAGUUCGGUAGGGGAGACUGGAAUUCCUGGUGUAGCGGUGAAAUGCGCAGAUAUCAGGAGGAACACCGAUGGCGAAGGCAGGUCUCUGGGCCGAUACUGACGCUGAGGAGCGAAAGCGUGGGGAGCGAACAGG